GGGGAUUUAGCUCAGCGGUAGAGUGCUUGCCUAGCAAGAGCAAGGCUCUAGGUUCAAUCCCCA
rnacentral:tRNA from 1 species